UUUUCCGAUAGAGGUGCGGCAGACCAAGAGUAAGUAUCGAGAGCUGGCAGCAAUGAUGAUACUGAAAGGGGCUGACCGCCGAAGUGAAAGUUUUGGCCGGGAACUUUUGCUGGUCUUGCAUUUAAGAAAUGCCUGACUGUCACCUGAAUGUUUCAGGUGGAGUGCUAUCUUGCAC
rnacentral:ncRNA from 3 species